rnacentral:rRNA from 1 species
AUUGAACGCUGGCGGCAUGCCUUACACAUGCAAGUCGAACGGCAGCACGGGAGCAAUCCUGGUGGCGAGUGGCGAACGGGUGAGUAAUAUAUCGGAACGUGCCCAGUAAUGGGGGAUAGCCCGGCGAAAGCCGGAUUAAUACCGCAUACGACCUACGGGUGAAAGCGGGGGAUCGCAAGACCUCGCGUUAUUGGAGCGGCCGAUAUCAGAUUAGCUUGUUGGCGGGGUAAAAGCCCACCAAGGCGACGAUCUGUAGCUGGUUUGAGAGGAUGAUCAGCAACACUGGGACUGAGACACGGCCCAGACUCCUACGGGAGGCAGCAGUGGGGAAUAUUGCGCAAUGGGCGAAAGCCUGACGCAGCGACGCCGCGUGGGUGAUGAAGGCC